rnacentral:rRNA from 1 species
GAUGAACGCUGGCGGCGUGCCUAAUACAUGCAAGUCGAGCGAACGGACGAGAAGCUUGCUCCUCUGAUGUUAGCGGCGGACGGGUGAGUAACACGUGGAUAACCUACCUAUAAGACUGGGAUAACUUCGGGAAACCGGAGCUAAUACCGGAUAAUAUUUUGAACCGCAUGGUUCAAAAGUGAAAGACGGUCUUGCUGUCACUUAUAGAUGGAUCCGCGCUGCAUUAGCUAGUUGGUAAGGUAACGGCUUACCAAGGCAACGAUGCAUAGCCGACCUGAGAGGGUGAUCGGCCACACUGGAACUGAGACACGGUCCAGACUCCUACGGGAGGCAGCAGUAGGGAAUCUUCCGCAAUGGGCGAAAGCCUGACGGAGCAACGCCGCGUGAGUGAUGAAGGUCUUCGGAUCGUAAAACUCUGUUAUUAGGGAAGAACAAAUGUGUAAGUAACUGUGCACAUCUUGACGGUACCUAAUCAGAAAGCCACGGCUAACUACGUG